UAAAUAUCCUCAUAUAACAGCUUGCAAAUAGUUUUUAGACACGUAAGCUUUUCACCACAGUUAAUGUGAACCAGCAUUAAUGGAAUCAUCAACUAAAGAUAGAGCCAUGCACGAAAUAGAACACCUACCCCCUUCCCCUGUGCAAAAUAGGCCCCUUUCCCCUCCCCUUCGUAGCAACUCCUUCGACCAACUAUUUGCAAAGCCCCCCUCCCUUUCACAGCAGCUUGCAGCCCCUUUGAGCAGAUAUUCGCAAUGCCCUCCAUCCCCUUCCCCUACGAGUAACAACCCCCCUCCCCUUCGCAGCAACUCGCAGCCCCUUCAGAAUCGUGACAUAGCCCCUUUAAGCAGAUCUACGCAGCCCAUUCGCAGCUCGCAGCCACCACCGAAGAAGAUGUAACCUUCGAAAUCCUUCUGCAAAUGAGAAGUUCGGGUUUUCAUUCCAGUUCAAGUUUAUGGACUACAAAAGGGGAAGACAAAGCUAGUUUGGAGAGACCACUUUGCUAUUGUGGCUGCCAAGCAAAGCUACAGAUUUCUAGAAAAUAUAAUAGUUUUGAUAGAAAAUUUUACAAUUGUCCAAACUAUAAUAUGAAUAAAUAAUGUUUAUAUAUUUUUUUUUUUGGUUUGUGCUAUAAUUUUUAUAUUUCUAAAAAAUUACAAUGCACGUCAACCAGUGCUACAACUCAUUUAACCUGUUGUACUUUUCUAUUUUUUAUGAUGUACUAAAUAUGUGGUUAGUGUAAUGAGAACUUUAGACAUGUUUUGUGAAUCUUUCAAAUGGAAAUCACCGAUGUAAAUGUAGACAUCUAUGAGUAUUGAAUCACCAAUUUUAGCAUGCAUUCAACUUGGAUCUUUA